rnacentral:rRNA from 1 species
ACAGGAAGAAGCUUGCUUCUUUGCUGACGAGUGGCGGACGGGUGAGUAAUGUCUGGGAAACUGCCUGAUGGAGGGGGAUAACUACUGGAAACGGUAGCUAAUACCGCAUAACGUCGCAAGACCAAAGAGGGGGACCUUCGGGCCUCUUGCCAUCGGAUGUGCCCAGAUGGGAUUAGCUAGUAGGUGGGGUAACGGCUCACCUAGGCGACGAUCCCUAGCUGGUCUGAGAGGAUGACCAGCCACACUGGAACUGAGACACGGUCCAGACUCCUACGGGAGGCAGCAGUGGGGAAUAUUGCACAAUGGGCGCAAGCCUGAUGCAGCCAUGCCGCGUGUAUGAAGAAGGCCUUCGGGUUGUAAAGUACUUUCAGCGGGGAGGAAGGGAGUAAAGUUAAUACCUUUGCUCAUUGACGUUACCCGCAGAAGAAGCACCGGCUAACUCCGUGCCAGCAGCCGCGGUAAUACGGAGGGUGCAAGCGUUAAUCGGAAUUACUGGGCGUAAAGCGCACGCAGGCGGUUUGUUAAGUCAGAUGUGAAAUCCCCGGGCUCAACCUGGGAACUGCAUCUGAUACUGGCAAGCUUGAGUCUCGUAGAGGGGGGUAGAAUUCCAGGUGUAGCGGUGAAAUGCGUAGAGAUCUGGAGGAAUACCGGGUGGCGAAGGCG